rnacentral:piRNA from 1 species
UGAAGACACCAGAGUACCCAGCAUC